rnacentral:rRNA from 1 species
UACAGAGGGUGCGAGCGUUGUCCGGAAUCACUGGGCGUAAAGGGCGCGUAGGCGGCCUGAUAAGUAGGGGGUGAAAUCCUGUGGCUUAACUGCAGGGCUGCCUCCUAGACUGUUAGGCUCGAGCACGGUAGAGGCAGAUGGAAUUCCCGGUGUAGCGGUGGAAUGCGUAGAUAUCGUAAGGAAGACCAGUGGCGAAGGCGGGUCUCUGGACAGUUCCUGACGCUGAGGCACGAAGGUCAAGGGAGCAAACGGG